GGCGACCGGCGCACGGGUGCGUAACGCGUAUGCAACCUACCUUUUACUGGGGGAUAGCCCGGAGAAAUUCGGAUUAAUACCCCAUAGUAUCUAUUAAUGGCAUCAUUUGAUAGAUUAAAGUUUCGGCGGUAAAAGAUGGGCAUGCGUCCUAUUAGCUAGAUGGUGAGGUAACGGCUCACCAUGGCUACGAUAGGUAGGGGGCCUGAGAGGGUGGUCCCCCACACUGGUACUGAGACACGGACCAGACUCC
rnacentral:rRNA from 1 species